rnacentral:misc_RNA from 1 species
GCAAACUUGGUCAUUUAGAGGAAGUAAAAGUCGUAACAAGGUUUCCGUAGGUGAACCUGCGGAAGGAUCAUUAACAAGUCCGUGGCCCUGCAUGCGCUGUGCAUGGGGGACAUUUGUUCCGUGUGCAUGUCACGUGCGCAUUGACACAUUUCUGUGAAUCGUCUGAUUGUCGUGUUGUCUGUCGAGUAAUGACUUUUAACAAUGGAUCUCUAGGCUCUUGCAUCGAUGAAGAACGCAGC